rnacentral:lncRNA from 1 species
AAAUCAUUCACACGGUGAACACAGAGAACGCUGGCACUGUCACAUGCUGUCUGGCCGAGGCUCGGUGCACUUUCUCCCACCUACUGGGCUGGAGGUGGCCAAAUCCAGAAGGAGUGUUUCUCCAGAAGUUCACAGGAAUCAGCCUGGGAAGGCCUG